UAUCGUUCUAUAAAUCCUACUUCAAAGUGCUCGUGGAAUAAAACUUGAAAUUAUAUUUGAGAAAUACUCAGUAUACAGGUAUUUCAUAUGUUGGUAAAUUGCGGGUGUUCCUGUACCUAUCAUAGCCACAUGUUGAUUCAGAACUGCAAAACCUUUCUCGAACCAUUUUCCAAAGGAAAGGGCAAGGUUAAAGGCCCUCUGUGAAGAUUUCUCCUCUCUGGGUUUCAGUAAGACGUUCUAAGGUGACUGGACUGUAGAAUUCAGCACUAUGAAUAACAUUAAAGUUAAAACAAAAUAAUGCAUUGAAAUUGUAGCAUGCUUUAUGCUUUAAUCAGUUUGUACUUAUACUUCUAUUUUUUCAUUGACUACAAUCCUGCCCAGUGUGCUCGAACGAAAGCAUCCCGCUUUCGAGAGGUAACAUGACAAUCGUAACCUCUUCUCCGAAUUUCCUGGCGCUAAAUUCGACCGUCACCUACAUCUGCCCUCCCUUCAUGUCAAUGGGGAAUGGCGUAACCGCCAUGAACUCGACCUGUGUCGCAAAUCGUUCCCAGGGACAUCCAGGACCCCCAGCCUACUCGUUUCAGCCAGAUGACAUUCCUGAUUGUAACGUGUGCAUUGAUGAUCCUAACAUCGCAAAUGCAAUCUCCAGCUGGGAUAGGAAUACAGAUUACGUGGUUAGUGACAGAAUAAAUCUCACCUGCAAUUCGGGUUUCUUCUUCAAUGACACUGCCGAUGCAAAUACGUUCAAAGAGAUUCAUUGUACAGAUUUGGGUUGGUUUCCAGACCCAAGGGAUCUAAGGUGUCAUCCAGGCUGUACAGACCCUUUGCCAAGUGGUGGGCCUAACAUGAGCGUCCCUGAAUUCCCCCAAAGAGACUUUGGCGCCGAGCUCACUUACACCUGCGACGAGGGACUACAUUCCAGCGGCAAGUAUUGUUUUUGUUUUUACUUUUUCUUUUCGAUUUUCAUUCUGAGAUUCUCUGUCGUUUUUCAUUUUUAAAACCACAUUUUCUUCUAAAUAAACAAAAAUAGAGUGCUUAUUACAAAGCUCUUGUAAGAACUACCGAAAGGAUUAUUUAGAAGCUUAACACGCACGCGCUCG